CAUCCACCCAUCACCUAUGUCUGGCAAACUUUUUUAUGUCUAUUGAGAAAAAUUAACAAAUACAAAUAAGUACAGUGGGAGAAAAGUCUGUACUGUUACUACUAAAGAUAACAACAUGUAGUAUUUUAGGUUACCAAUGGUAAAGAUAGUACACAAUAAAUAUUUAGAGCACAAUAUAAAUAUUUAGUGUAACAUGUAUAAAGCAAACUAUAUGCUUCAUUUAAUCAGCUUUUCUCGAUGAAUUUUGAAAAUUUUUACAAUUCACUAAAAUAUUCCUCCAUCAUUUUAAAUUGUUGUGCAGUAUUUCAUUGAAUGCCCUGUAAUGUAGCCCAUUAUUCAAAUUUUAGACAAUUUCACCAUGCCACCCCUACCUUGUUUUUCCUUCUUCUUUUUUUUUUUUUUUUUUUUUUUUUGUUAGAAAGGGUCUCACUCUGUCACCCAGGCUGGAGUGCCAUGGUGCCAAGUCAGCUUACUGCAACCUCCACCUCCUAGGUUCAAGCUCUUCUCCUGCCUCAGUCUCCUGAGUAGCUGGGAUUACAGGUGCCACUAGAAUAAAGUGCAUGAGUAAAGACACUGGGUCAACUACUGAUAGGAUAAAUAUUCUGAAGCCAACUGAAAAACACCCUUGGCGUUUAUUCUCCAAGGCUGUGGUUUCUUGCCAGAAAGCAGGACAGCAGAUUUACUAAGAACUGCUCCACCCUAUUCCUUAUCUCUGAUGACUUAGAAGUGUCCUCAAGGAGUUCAUUCAUUUCAGGCUGAUGUCAACUUUUUUGAAAGGUGACUAGAGUAGCUACUUCAUACUCAUGCGCUUGACCUGGGGUCUACGUGAACAGGGCAGCUUUGGCCCCUUGGAAUGCUCACUUCUGGGAAAAGAGAUUGUGUUUAAACUAUCUAACAUGGAAUUCUUCCAGCCCUAGAUCUAUCUUAAAAACAACAAUUCACUUUCAUUGAGUAGUACAAGUUCUUACUCUUCAUUAGUAGCCUUUUGAGUAAAGAGAAGAAUAAAGUAAUUCCUGCCCUCAAAGAACUCACAGUGUUUUGACAGAUAAGAUAAUUAGAAUACAAAAGGUUAGUGUAUUCCUAAAGGAAUGAUGGAUUGUCUUGGAGGGGAAAGAGCCCAAGCAUUAGAAUCAAGUCAUUCCAAGCUCAAUUACAGUUCAGCUACCAAUAUCUGUCAUUUUGAGCAAUCACAACCUCUUUGAACUUUAGUUUCUAAACUGUCAAACGCAAAUGACACCUGUCUUAUCAGAAUGUUUGAGGACAGAGCCAUAGCCCCCAGCACAUACUAAGAACUCUCUAGUUUUACUUGCUAUUCUUACCCACACCUGGGUUAAUAAGUGAGUAACUGGGGGAAAAAGUAGAAUUUCACCAGGCAUAGUGGUAUGGAAAGUUUUUCCUUGCAGAGGAGAGAUUAUAAAUCAUAGGGUUAUAAAAGUGUGGAAAUAUUUUUAAAGCAUUGAGAUUUAGGGGUAAGGGAGAAAGAUAGAUUAAGAUAGGGUAGGGUAGAUUUUGAAAGGUCUGAAAUGCCACUGCAGAAUAUGGACUGUAUCUUGUGCUCAGAUAACUGCAUGAAGAAUUGUAAGCAAGAUAUUUUAGCCUCUAGUGUAAUGCUUUUUAUUUUUAUUUUUAUUUGUUUAUUUAUUAGACCACUUAAGGAAUGAUAAACACACAAAAAGCAGUACAUAUUUGAGAAAUAUAUACAACUUGAUGAGUUUGGAGUUAAGUAUACACCUGUGAGACCACCACAUUCAGGCUGUAAACUUAUCCAUCAGCUCCAAAAGUUACCUUAUUCCCCAGUAUUUAUUGACCAAGUCCCCACCUUGUCUUCUGUUAUUUAAUGAUUCACAAAUAUGAGUGCCUCUUGAAUUCUAGGCUCUGUCCUAGUCCUGGAAGCAGCAGUAAUCAAAGUAGGCAGACAUUCCUACCUUCAUUAGGCUUAUAUUUUAGUGGGUAAGAUGGGAAAGAGAAAAAUUCAUGUUUCCUUCUCUUUCUGAUUCUCCCUCUUUGGAGGCUAUUUCCCUCAGCAUUUCAAAACCAUAUAUUUUCUGGCUGAUGUUUCUUUUCACAUGCAAGCGUUUCUAAGAAUUGUCUAAACUUCUAGUUUUACUUUCUGGCUUUUCACUCUUAAAAUUACAUAUACAAUGUUCUAACAACGUCUUUGACCUCUUCAUUGAUACACCCCAAUAAGAGCUUGUGGGGUGUUUUAUUAAAGGAAUGCAGGCACUUACAUAGCGUUCACCAGGAAGAAAUGAUAAUCAUGUUCUGAAGUUAUGUACUUGGAGGGAACAUUGAAGGAAGAAGAGAAUCCACCCAACUAAUCAGUUAGAGGAACCAAAUAAGCAUUGGUGAUUCUGACUGAUAGACAUCAUGGGGAAGUUGGUUGCCUUUGAUGGAACACAUGCUUCCUUUGAUAUUUGAAACAUUUUGGCACAUAGAAAAAAAACAUGGAAGUCUUCUGAAAUCAGGAUUUAGUAAUCUUGAUGUCACCCUCUAUCAAAAAUAGCAUGGAAUGUCAAACAGCCAGAACUUUCUUUCAUAUGUUGCUAGUGGGAACGUGCAAUGGUACCACUUUGGAAAACUGGUGAUUUUUAAAGUGAUAUACCUACUCUUAAACAUGAGAUUUGUUCGUUAUACUCUGAGUAAAUUGUAUUUCAAUAAAUUAUUUAAACGUUUGAAACGACUAUUGAUUGUAUAGUAACAGAGACAAAACAUCCCAAUAAUGCAUUUUUAAUUAAUAUUGCAGUAACAAAGAAAUAGAAUAAUUCCAAGUAAUGUUCAAUUUUAAGAAAUGUGAGAAUAAUACAAUAUUAAAUGUACAUUAUGGCAUGUAGCUGUAUUAAUAGACUAAAUGCAGCAAUAAAAAAUUGGUAUAUGAAAUUCAACAGCAUUUCUUUUUAAGCAAUAAAAAUGGAAGUUAAAUAAAAAUAGGACACUUCUUAAAUAUAAUGCUUCAAAAAAUAAAAAGCCGGUAGUUUUUGGGAUUCAUUAUCAUAAAUGAACAACAUUUACAAAAGGACAAAGUGAUGAAUGGAUGGAAACAGACAUUGAUAUGUGUGUGAAGAAAACAGAUGAACCUGAGAAAGCAGAAACUCCUUAGCAGGGAUUUACAGGAAAACACGUGGGCAAGUCUGAGAUCAGCACCUGAAACUAAAAGGGACUUUUUCCAGUGGAAUAACAUGUGAGUGAAAGGAGCCCUGGGUAAAUCUGAAGGGCUUAGUACCCAUGACUUCUCAGAACUGAGCCACCAUUGAUGUUUUCCAGGUCAGGACCUCAUAAAGAAGAAAAGAUGGUGGGAAUGGAAUAAAAGAAGCAAGUUGGACCCUAUAGCUGCAAGGAACAGAAGACUGCCAACAAUCAUGAGAACAGAAAAGCAGAUGCUUUCCCACUUGAGCUUGCAGAUGAGAAGACAGCAAUUGAUUCUGGCAGCAGUGAUGUGGAAUGGAGAGAGGCAUUUGCUUACAGUGGGUGAAAAAUGUUUAAGAGAAAAAAGAAACAACUUUAAAAUGUCAAGUCCAAUAAAAGAGAGAGGACAUUGGGGGCCAUCCAGCUGCACACCAUCUGCUCACAGAUGGGCAACUGGGGGUGACCUGCGUGCAAUGGGAGACACAUGUUAGGCCGCGCUGUCCAUGCAGCCAGGACCCAGGUAGCGUGUAAGGAAGACGUGAACACAGACAAGCUGCACCUGCGCAAUCCUUAGGCACCUGCAAAAGCAGCAAACACACUUAGAAUGACCCAGAGCUGCACUUAUAUUGUCAUGGUAAAGAAAUGGAGAUUUAUUGUAAACAGAAGAUUAAGAAGAGAGCGGAAGGAAGAAAUUGAAGCACAUUCUUGGACAAGAAUAAAAUCAUUAAAAUGUUAAUGAAAGCAUUCCCAGCACAUAACAGGGUCUCUGAUGCCUGGUGAUCACCCAAUCAGUAGAUGUUGUACUGUGACAUAGCACCUGGAAGCACCUUGCACUCACAGGACCUUGAAAGAAGCCAGUGAUAAUAGUAGCAAACAAUAAUUGAGCACUUUGUACCAGUGUGAUAACAUUGUCAUGUAUCAAAAUAUUUAAUAAUCACAACAAAUUGGUAGGUUUUUAAUGUUCAUCUUUAUUGAUUCUGUCCUAAAUGCACCCACAAGGUUUUUGGAUCAGAGACAGAUUUUUUUAAUGACUUACAGCAAAUAACAAGUGUGUGAUUCCCCUAUGCUUCCAUUCUUAUCCCAGGGAUAUUGUGAUUAAAGCCAGGUCAAACAUCUUAAACACACAAAGUCCAUAUAGUAAGCAAGGAAUUAAGAAAAUGAAUUGUAUCUGCUUGUAAUAGGGAGUAAGGCAACUAUCUCUCUUCUCCCUUCUGAGAAAGUCUGUUUUGGAAACAUGGUAAGUCCUAUGUCUUCAGUUUCACAAUUAAGAGAUAUCUCCAUUGUCCUGAGCCUCAGCACUGCUCCCCUGCCACCUCCCUAGAACUGUUCACGUAUAACUCAUGGAUUGGGCGAGCAUCUGGACUUCUCACUAUCUUUACAGUUGUAGAUUGCCUCCAAAGACUGGCUUUCAAUUCAGAUCUCAAGUUUCAGUAAAAUCUGUGUAGAAAGGCAUAGUUGUGCCAAAACAUAAAAGUAUUUUCUCUACAACUUUACACACACACACACACACACACACACACACACACCCCUAUGUUAUUUUACAGCUGUGGCAACUAAAUUUAAAGGACUUAACCUGUCCAGGGUCAAAUUUGUAGUUAUCAGUAAAGCCAGGAUUUUGCCCCCCAUGUAACUUGAAAGCCCACAUUCCUAAACAUUACCGUGCCUUGCUUAUUUACUGGUUAGGUAAAUGAUUGUGUGCAUAAAGCAGCCAUUCUAGUUGCCACAAAUCAACUUUUACUUCAUAUUCAUUUUCAGACUUCUCUCACGAUUAUGUAGAGAAGCAUUUGUAAACUAUGGAGGAGUUUAAUAUAAUUUUUUCAUUCCAGAGAAUAACUCCGGAUUAGGAAGGAAAUAAAAAAAAUU